AAUUUUCACCAUGUUCCCUCUUUACAUUGAAACCCUAUUUCAUUUUUUAGGGUCAUUUUUCUACGUUUUCCCAAAAUUCACCGUCUACCUCGCUUCAUCUCUCUCGUCUCUCUCUCUCUCUCUCACCUGGCAAAACACUAGGGCUUGAAAAUCAUAUAGAAGGACAGUAAUCUUCUUCCCUCCAUUAAAUUAUUUUCAGGUCAGUAAGCAAUUCUUCAUCUAUGGACAAUACUUAACUUUUAUCUGCUAUUAAUAUUUAAAUAAAGAUUUUGAUGAAUUUACAUUUUCCUUUCUUGAUUUCUCAAUUGGAUAAAAGAUCUACUCAGCCUCACUUUGUUCAAAGAAUCCCAAUGUCUGAUUUGUUGAUGUGUAUUUUUGUGUGUUCUCUUCAAAUACAAUUCUCACUUAGGUAAGCAGGUUCUCCUGCACUCCCCAAAAAGAAUUUAAAAGAAUGUUAGGAUAGAUUUUACAGGUCCUAACUCCGUCAAAAUGUAGAACCCAUUUCUAAGAUAAGAAAAUGGGCGAAAUAGAGAUUCACUAUUUAUUUUGGCUAUCCUAACUUCAAGAUCACUACUGUCAUUUUUCAAAGUCCAAAAAUGUGUCGAGGAGUAAUUGAUAGAAAACUGAUUAGUGAGGAGGCUGCACCUUGUGUCAUUGACAAAGAGUUUAAUUUCUCUUAAAAAAGAAAUUUGCUAUUUCUGCUACUACAUACUGAAAAGUAGCUAUUUUAGUUUUUGCCAUAUCCUAACUCAUAGGACAUCACAGAAAAUAAAAGGGUUAAGAUUUACAUAAAAUACAUUUUCUUGGGUAGCUAAAUUUUGCAGCCUCUAAUCUUUAAAACUUUACAUGAUACAAGUUGAGUAGAAAGAUAUCUGGAGUCUGCUUAUGGGAGGAGAAAAGACCAAGAGUCCAAGAGUAUGCUUAUUUAUGUAUUUCAUAUGUAAUUUAUAGAGUAAAAAAGGCAAUGUAUAUGUUUAUUUAAAAUAAAAGGAUUAUAUGUUCUGCCAAGAUCAAGUUAUGCCCAUUUCCAUCAAGCAUGCAGAAGCCAAGUGAUCUGUGUAUUUCAAACUAACUUCGUCACUUGAUAUGGAACUGCAUCAAGUGGUUUAUAUGACGACCGCUUUCUGUUGCACAACCUACAUAUAUUCUUUUGUUUUGAAGGUGUCUUAUACAUGAAUUUUUGAAGGAGUAAAGCCUACGUAUACAUUACCCUUCCUAGAACUGUUUGUGAAAUUUACUAGGUCGUUGUUGUCGUUGUUGUUGUUGUUGUUGUUGUUAUUGAUAGGUUUAUUGACGACACAUAGAGAAAUUUUUGGAUCAAUCUAUUCUCAAAGUUGCCUCAUGGUUUCGAGUCUCAUUUGCAGUAAUCGUCAUUGAGUUUGGCCAAUGACAUGGGAAGUAUUUCAGUACUCCCUGCAACAUGAUUGAAAUAAAUUCAUGCAGGUCACUUGCAUAACCUCUUUAUCAUGUGUUUCUGCAUGCGUGCAUAUGUUUAUCAUCUAUUAAGCUAAGAGAGUUUGCACAAUUCAUUCCGAAAUUUAAAAAGCAUCUUGAUGUUAUCUGUUAUUACCAAUGUUGAGCUUUGAUAUAGAAGACUAUAUCUCCUUUAAUCAAUCUACAUUACCUAUCAACUCUAUGCAAUAUUCACUUAGAGUUCUCACUUUUCUUUUCUUUAUUUUUCCUUUUCCCCUUUAGAAGUUGAUAGAGUAGUAACGAGGAUUCAUGUGGUGAAGAAAAAAGCUUCAAAUCUGGUAAUGACCUUGGUGGCAAUUAUGGAUGUCAUGGUAAUCAAAAUGGUGGAUUAAAAUUAACAUUUAUCCCUCAACAGACUUCGUCCUCUCAUUAAUCCAAUAAGUUAUACAAUUAAUUCCAACCAUCGAGGUAAUAUUGUCUUCAAUAUUUUUUAAAUUAUUCAUGUUUGUUGGAAAAGCUAAGAGAAACGUACAGUAGUCCUAAUUUACAAAUUUUAUUCAUGAACUCCCCUGUUAAGUGAUGCACCUAAUAAUCAUAAAAAGUAAUCAAAUCUAAUAAAAUUCUAGUUAUAUUUUGGCAAAUUAUACUACUAAGCUUGCCUAGUAGUUAUUUAAUUAAUAAUAAAAUUAAAAAAACCACAAAGGAAGAGUACAAUUAAGGGGGCAAAGACCUUGUCUUCCAAUUCUUAUUGAGGCAUGAAAAAGCUCAUCUUCUAGUAGGCAUGUAAAAAAAUAAAAACUAGAAAGAAUUAAGUACUAUAUGAUCGUCAUAAAGUUUAUAACAUACUCUAUGACGAUAUUACAUGUGAUGGUACCUUGAAAAUGAUACCAUAAAACAAUGUAGAAAUUAUAGUCUUUCCCCUCAUUUAUCAUACUUGUAAGUUCUUAAAUUUUAAGUUCCUUAAAUUCCUCUUCAACUGUCUUCAAUAACUUUUCAAAAUUGUUCAUUUCAUCUCCAAUCGAUUGGACUUUGUAGGGACAACCCCUUUUUGCUUUGAAGAUCUCAUUGGAGUUGCCUGGGUGCUACUCCUUCAUUCACCUUCUUUUUUCCUCUAUGUAUAGGAGAUAAAUCUUCACUUUUACCCGCCUAUGUUUGACAAUAAUAAAGUAAAUCGUUUCCUCGCCUUCUUCAUAAAUGUCAACAUGUAAGUUGGCAUCUAGUUGUUGAUUAGCAAGUCUUUGUGCAAUCAUACAAAAUGGUUCAUGCCUCUUCACUUUAAAUUGAGCAUUUUUGUUCUUACCCGAAUUUUUCUGCCCAUGUUCACCCAUCUUUGAGGGGGCUGAACUUUGAAGUUGCUACUCAUAAGUAACAACCUUUGAACCAGCUGAAUGUACAAUUUUGUGUGGCUUUGGACUCUCCAAGGCAUCCCAGAGUGCCCUAUCAUGAGCUGGAAUUUUCCAAUCCAUACUUUGAGGUAUAGAAGCUGAUCCUUUGGUAGCUUGAUCACAUGCUAUACCAGCCCCACAUGUGGAAAACUUAGGCACAAACAUAUGAGCUUUAGGAUUAAGCUUACUUUUUGUACUUCAAAACUGGAGACCUGUUGUGACUUGUGAUUUGGCUGUGUUGGUGACCCAACUGAUUGUGCCUCAUCAUCCACCUACUGCAAUUCCUCUUCAGUUGUCUUCAUAUGAUUAGGAUUCAACGUCAUGGCAACCUGGGCAUCCUUGAUGAUUUUUUCGACGUGCACUGGAAUUAUGCAAUUUAGGGAUGCUGGUCUGAUCCCUUAUUAAUGCAACAAUCAAAUUACCCUAUGCGGCACUUUGUCGAACACCAACUUUCUUUGCCAAGAUAUCACCGUCUCAUUCCUCUUUAGCACUGCUAUUAGCAUCAUUUAAUGGAGAUGAAUUGAUUCCAUCAUCCACCUCAUAUGCUAAAACUUUGAUUCCAUUUGGGCUAGUAACAGUUUGUGUUGUAUUUUGUCAAACAUUUGUCAAAAUCGAUUUUUGCUGAUGUAUCUUCACACCUAGAGGUGUAUUUUGCCUAGUAGGAGCUCUCUUUAUCAUACAAACAUUCACAUUUGUAUUCUUAUUUAGUCCAACUUUAUUCGAGGAAGUUGAGACUUGUUUCUGCCCACUUGCUAUUUCCAGUUGAGUUGUUUGUGCACCGGCAUUGGCAGUAACAACAUCAUUAUGUUGUGCACCAGCAUCGAAAGUAACAAAUAGCAUAGAAUUAGGUACGAGGGCUGCUAGUUUUUCAAUUAGAUCAACUAAUGCAAUUUUAGCAACUUCAGCAGCCUGCUUUUCACAUGUGAGAAACUAUGCACAGCUGCUGCAAUUUCAAUUGCUGAUUGUUCCUGAAACUUCAAUCUAUCAUUACCAGUUUGAAUCCCAGAUUACCCAAUGGAUUGCUGAACCACAUCAAGCUUGUUUGAAGUAACAGCUCAAUCAACAGUAGCCUACGAUGCAUCAGGAGUGGCACCUACUGGUUUUUCAACUGCAGCAGUAGAUUUAAAGUCGAUGCCACAUCCUGUGUACCUCUCGCAAUAGCACAAGAAACAUCACCUUUAAACCUGGCUUUUGCUAGAUUCAUAGGCACCUGAACACUAAUGACUAAUGGCUAUUCAGGAGAAUCGUGGAAAAGAGAUUGUUUUGAAAGCAAUGGGUCAGGCAAUAAGCAAGACUGUAGCUAUUACAAAGAUCAUUAAAGUAGCUUGCCUGCUUUGUCUUUUCUUUCCUUUGGUAGUAAUAUUCAUUGGUUGUUGUUGGUCCCCCAUUAUGUUGGCUACUCCAAUUUUACUAAUGGGAUGUUCAAGAUAAUUUUUUAUAUUAUACUUUAUCUUUUGACAUAAUUAUUUAUAAUUCGGUUAAGGGUCAAAUAUAUCCUUGUACUAUUCAAAAUAGGUCAUAUUUAUCCUCCGU
rnacentral:lncRNA from 1 species